rnacentral:rRNA from 1 species
GACGAACGCUGGCGGCGUGCUUAACACAUGCAAGUCGAACGGUAAGGCCCUUCGGGGUACACGAGUGGCGAACGGGUGAGUAACACGUGGGUGAUCUGCCCUGCACUUCGGGAUAAGCCUGGGAAACUGGGUCUAAUACCGGAUAGGACCACUGCCUGCAUGGGUGGUGGUGGAAAGCUUUUGCGGUGUGGGAUGGGCCCGCGGCCUAUCAGCUUGUUGGUGGGGUGAUGGCCUACCAAGGCGACGACGGGUAGCCGGCCUGAGAGGGUGACCGGCCACACUGGGACUGCGAGACGGCCCAGACUCGUACGGGAGGCAGCAGUGGGGAAUAUUGCACAAUGGGCGCAAGCCUGAUGCAGCGACGCCGCGUGAGGGAUGACGGCCUUCGGGUUGUAAACCUCUUUCAGCACCGACGAAGCGCAAGUGACGGUAGGUGCAGAAGAAGGACCGGCCAACUACGUGCCAGCCGCCGCGUAA